rnacentral:rRNA from 1 species
GACGAACGCUGGCGGCGUGCCUAACACAUGCAAGUCGAACGGUAGCACAGAGAGCUUGCUCUCGGGUGACGAGUGGCGGACGGGUGAGUAACGUCUGGGAAACUGCCCGAUGGAGGGGGAUACCUACUGGAAACGGUAGCUAAUACCGCAUAACGUCGCAAGACCAAAGUGGGGGACCUUCGGGGCCCACACCAUCGGCGGUGCCCAGAUGGGAUUAGCUAGUAGGUGGGGUAAUGGCUCACCUAGGCGACGAUCCCUAGCUGGUCUGAGAGGAUGACCAGCCACACUGGAACUGAGACACGGUCCAGACUCCUACGGGAGGCAGCAGUGGGGAAUAUUGCACAAUGGGCGCAAGCCUGAUGCAGCCAUGCCGCGUGUAUGAAGAAGGCCUUCGGGUUGUAAAGUACUUUCAGCGGGGAGGAAGGCGGUGAAGUUAAUAGCUUCACCGAUUGACGUUACCCGCAGAAGAAGCACCGGCUAACUCCGUGCCAGCCGCCGCCGUAA